rnacentral:lncRNA from 1 species
UUCAUCCAUAUUGUAGCACAUACGAGAAGAUGACUUUUUAAAAAGUUUUUAAUUAAAACAUAACAUAAAAAGUGAAAAGUGCAUAACUUGCUCACAACCUGAACACAUCAGGACCCAGGGAGUCAAGAGAUGAUGACUGAUGACUCAGCCUCCUCAGCUCGGCUUCCCAGAGCUCCACUCACCACAUCAGUGAGCCUGGCAUGCAGGGGGAGACAUAAACACAACCAUGGUGUUGAUAUCAAUCCUAGCAGAGAUGUCACAAGCCAAGGUCUGGGAAGAGGAAGAAUGAAUCAGGAUAAAACUUCAGUGGAAAAAAGACCAAGUGAGAGACUUAAAAGUCACGACUAAAGAAUUGUGCUGCUUAUUGCUGUUGAGUUCCCCUCUGCUCCCACAGAAGACAAGGAGAAGGAAUGUCACAGGGGCUUGAGUAUCCCUCUAGGGAAGAGUGGCUGGAACACCUAAUGUGAAAGUUUGGGGAAUCUUUGGCUGCUGAGAGCUCAGAGGGAUGAUGAUAUAACAUUGGAGAAAGGAUGUUGGAACCUCACCCACCUGUGUUUGCCUUCCCAUGCAACUGGAGCAGUGGAAGUUAGAAAGUAGGGUAUGAAAAACGACUGGAAGCAGAGAUCCUCUCCCACAGAGGGGUAGAAUUGGAAGACGCACUCAGAAAGCCUUACGGCCAACCUCCUCAGUUUUCAUACAGGCAAACUAAAUAUUACAGAUGGGAAAAUGGACCUUAGAGAUGACUGAACUCAAAGUCUUCAUUCUACUAAGGAGAAGAUGGGCCUGAGGUGCUCACUCUGAUGGAAGCCAGCUGCUAUGCUGUGUGUUGCUCUAUGGAGAGACUCAGGUAGAAGGAAUUGAAGGAGGCUUUCGGCCAACAGUCAGCAAGGUACUGAGGCUUUCAGUCCAAGAGCCUAUAAGGAACUGAAUCCUACCAGCAACCAAGCAAGUGGCUUGAAAAUGGACCCUCUCUCAGCUGAGUCUUUGAAUAAGAUCACAGCUCUUAUUCAAUAUGACACCUUGAUUGUAGUCUUGUUAGAGAUCUUGAGCCAGUGGCACCCAGCUAAGCUGUACCUGUAUUCCUGACCCAUAAAACCCCACAGAUAAUAAAUGUUUGUCAUUUUAAACUGUGAA